CCUACGGGCGGCAGCAGUGGGGAAUAUUGGGCAAUGGGCGCAAGCCUGACCCAGCAACGCCGCGUGAAGGAAGAAGGCCCUCGGGUUGUAAACUUCUUUUAAGAGGGAAGAGCAGAAGACGGCAUCUCUUGAAUAAGCCACGGCUAACUACGUGCCAGCAGCCGCGGUAAUACGUAGGGGGCAAGUGUUGUCCGGAUUUAGUGGGUUUAAAGGGCGUGCAGACGGGAAGACAAGUCAGAUGUGAAAGCCCGCGGCUCAACCGCGGAACUGCAUUUGAUACUGUUUUUCUUGAGUACCGGAGAGGUAAGCGGAAUUCCUUGUGUAGCGGUGAAAUGCGUAGAUAUAAGGAAGAACACCGGUGGCGAAGGCGGAUGACUGGACGGCAACUGACGGUGAGGCGCGAAAGCGUGGGGAGCAAACAGGAUUAGAUAGCCGGGUAGUC
rnacentral:rRNA from 1 species